CGCCUGUUUAACAAAAACAUGUCCUUUUGAAUUUAAUUGAAGGUCUGACCUGCCCAGUGAUUAAUUUAACGGCCGCGGUAUACUGACCGUGCAAAGGUAGCAUAAUCAUUAGUCUUUUAAUAGAGGGCUGGAAUGAAAGGUUUGACGAGGAAUUGACUGUCUCAUUUUAUUUGUUUUAGAAUUUAAUUUUUUAGUCAAAAAGCUAAAAUGUAGUUGGAAGACGAGAAGACCCUAUAGAUCUUUAUAUAAUGUUAUUUAAUUAUUUUAAUAUUAAUAUAUUUAAAUUAUGAUUAUAUUUUGUUGGGGUGACAAAAAUAUAUAAUUAACUUUUUUAUCUAUUUACCAUUGAUAAAUGUAUACUAGAUCCAUUCAUAGUGAUUGAUAGAAUAAGUUACCUUAGGGAUAACAGCG
rnacentral:rRNA from 1 species